ensembl:lncRNA RNASEH2B-AS1 RNASEH2B antisense RNA 1
CACCGUCUGAGGCCACUUCGAGCCUACUGGAUCCCUGGUUCCAACCCAGUAGGAUCACAGAAGCAGGGCCAGCUGCCAGGCUUCUGCAAAAGACUUGAGACAGCUCACAAUGAAGUACUCUGUAUUAGGCAGGGUAAUAUUGAUUGCAAGUGACAGAAACCCAAUCAGAAACUCACUGGAGUCAUGAGGAACACUUAUUGGCUCAGAGUAAAGGCAAAAUAGACCUUCAGAGAAAUAAAGUCUGGGAAAUUGACUAGAUCCUCACUGAAAGAACUACUAAAGGAUGUACUUAUGGAAGAAGAAAAUUACAAAGUGAAAGAACUGGGAUGCAAGAAGUAAUGUUCCCAACAUGAUGUGAACAACAUCUGUGCUGGUUGAAUGAAUGAAUGGUGUUGAAAGCAUCUACAUCAGGGGUGUCCAAUCUUUCAGCUUCCCUGGGCUACACUGGAAGAAGAAUAAUUUUCUUGCACCACAUAUAAAAUACACUAACACUACUGAUAGCUGAUGAGCUAAAAAAAAAAAAUCGCAAAAAAAUCUCAUGUUUUAAGAAAGUUUAUGAAUUUGUGUUGGGCCACAUCCAAAGCCAUCCUGGGCUGCAUGCAGCCUGCAGGCCAUGGGUUGGACAAGCUUGACUACAGCUUUAAAGUGAUCUUAAUCUAAUCAAUUCUUCCCCAUUCAGAAGAAACCUACUACAUCAGAGUCUAUUGAGAAUCUAUCUCCCUAAUCACCCUCAGGCACAGGGUUAUUAUGUAUUGAUAUCAUACACACUAAAAAAUUCCAUCAUACAGGUCUAGAAAUACUUCCAUAAUACAGUAAUAUUUUAAUAGAGUCAUAACACACAGACAGCCACCCAUUCUGCCUGUAGCCAGUCAUGGAGCAAUACAUUUUGUACAUAACCUGUAAUUUCUUCUGGAGAGUGUAAUUACAAUGCCAAUAUGACAUUUUAUUUUUAUUAUUAUUAUUUAGUUAGUUAGUUAGUUACUUUUUGAGACAGAGUCUCACUCUGUCGCCAGGCUGGAGUGCAGUGGUGUGAUCUCGGCUCACUGCAACCUCUGCCUCCCGGGUUCAAGUGAUUCUUCUGCCUCAGCCUCCCGAGUAGCUGGGACUAUGGGUGCCCACCACCACACCUGGCUAAUUUUUGUAUUUUUAGUAGAGAUGGGGUUUCACCAUGUUAGCCAGGAUGGUCUAGGGGUUGAUAAACUACAGUGCACAGGCCAAAUCUGGUUUACUGCCUGAUUUUGUAAAUAAAGUUUUAUUGGAACACA